GUAAUAUUCAGCUUUUGGAAACUCUUCCCGUACACAAAUACCCAAACCCGAUUAUCUCUCAUUUCCCGUUUUUCUUUCUUUCUCUCUCUCGCUUGCUGUCUUCUCGAGCUUUGACGAGUGCCUACUCGGCCUCCAAAAGCUACACAUGCUAGACCGUUGGUUGUAGAAUCCCUCGAAAUAUCGGCCCGCGGGCCUCCAAACCUCACUUGCCGAUUAAGGUCCCCAAAAGUUUGAUUUAAGUUCGACCUUCGUAAUGAUUUCCGACGAAAUUCCAACCACCUCGAGCCACCUUGAGUUGAAGCACCACCACCACUGCAUUCCUUGUGUCUUGGGCUUCAAAACCCACUAAAGGAUCGACCAUAAGGAUCACCAGAAUCCGUCAUGGGUGCUCGCCGGAGUUGCGUGGUUCCACCACUUUUCAGCCAAGAUUUAAGCACUUCCAAGCCGUUCUAAGCUAAACCACCACCAGCACAACGUUUCUCGUGAUUUGGGUGCUUUGAUACCAAAUUUUAGUUUGUUUCCUCAACCACCAUCUUUGAGUGGUGGCCUGCCACCGUCGUUGGAGCUCCACCGUGGGUCUCGACCAACAAUAGUUUUGAGAGCUUUUUGGAAUUCGUUUCGAACUUUGGAAAUCGCCUAUACGCUCAUACCAUCAUUUCGAGCGCUGUGCUAUUCCAGAUUUGUUAUUAGGACUCGAGUACGAGUCGCAUUAUUUGAGCCUGAGUUGCAGGCUUGAAGACACAAACCUUCCCUGAGGGACGAGUUCGACAAAAUCACUGGAUGAGGAGGAGGCUAUAACUGGAAUGAUGAGCUCGAAGCCAGGCCGAUCUCGAAAGCGCGUCAGCGCAACAAUCGAGCUCAGUGAUGUGUUUUGUAACAUCCCAAAAUUUGUUAUUAAGGCUGAGUGCCUUAAUUACUGUGCCUAGAGGGCAUAAUUAGAAUUAUAUGUGUGAUUAAUGGAUUAUACGUGUGAUUAUGUGA